GUGUAAUGUUUACUCUGUGUAUUCUAUUGUAUCAACAGGAGAGAAGUUGACACUGUGUUUUGUAUACCCUGUGUAUGCUAAUGUAUUGACAGAAGAGUAGUUGACACUGUGUUUUGUAUACCCUGGGUAUGCUAAUGUAUUGACAGAAGAGUAGUUGACACUGUGUUUUCUUUACCCUGUGUAUGCUAUUGUAUUGACAGAAGAGUAGUUGAUAUUGGGUUUUGUUUACCCUGUGUAUGCUAUUGUAUCGACAGAAGAGUAGUUGACACCUUGUAAUGUUUACUCUAUAUAUUCUAUUGUAUCGACAGAAAAGUAGUUGACACUAUGUUAUGCUUACUCUGAGUAUGCUAUGGUAUGAACAGAAGAGAAGUUGACACUGUGUUAUGUUUACUCGGUGUAUACUAAUGAAUUAACAGAAGAGUAGUUGACACUGGGUUAUGUUUACUCUGUGUAUGUUAUUGAAAAAACAGGAGAGUAGUUGACACCGUGUUAUAUUUACCCUGUGUAUACUAUUGUAUUUACAGUAGAGUAGUAGACACUUUUAUUUGUUUACAUUGUGUAAGAUAUUGUAUCGACAGUAGAGUAGUUGACGCCGUGUUAUAUUAAAGCAUUUAUAUGAGGAUGUUUACUUUUAUGUCAAGGUACUCUGUAAACAAACUAAUUUUCGCGACUUUCGUGAGACGAAAACUGUCGCGAAUAUAAAUCGGCGCGAAUGUGUAAAACUUGGAAUUAUCCUUACGUAACUGAAUAAAGUAAAUUUGAAAAUCGCGACAUAAUUAGCGGCUAAAUGGGCUAGAAGGGGCUAAAUGCAAAAUAAAGUAUCCGCGAAAAUAAGUUCGUUUACAGUAUAUCGCACUUAGUUUCUUAAACCAAAUGUGAAUUUAACAGAAACUAUCAAAGAGCUGUCUUUAAACCAAUAUUCCAACAAUGCCAAAUAAAAGCUUUAACAAUGACGACCAC
rnacentral:lncRNA from 1 species